rnacentral:miRNA from 14 species
GGCUGCCCGGCUCCCGGCGCCACCUCAGCCCGCUGCGGGGGCGGCGGCGGGGGCGGCGGCUGGGGUGGCUGCUGGCCACGGCGCC